rnacentral:rRNA from 1 species
AAUCAACGCUGGCGGCGUGCCUCAGACAUGCAAGUCGAACGCGAAAGUCCCCUUCGGGGGACAAGUAGAGUGGCGCACGGGUGAGUAACACGUAGGUAAUCUACCUUUGGAUGGGGAAUAACAACCGGAAACGGUUGCUAAUACCGCAUAAUGCAGCGGCACCUAAUGGUGACAGUUGUUAAGGCGGGGGAUCGAAAGACCUCGCGUCUGAAGAGGAGCCUGCGGCGGAUUAGCUAGUGGUAAGGUAAUGGCUUACCAAGGCUACGAUCCGUAACCGGCCUGAGAGGGCGGUCGGUCACACUGACACUGACAUACGGGUCAGACUCCUACGGGAGGCAGCAGUCGGGAAUUUUGGGCAAUGGGCGAAAGCCUGACCCAGCAACGCCGCGUGAAGGAUGAAAUCCCUCGGGAUGUAAACUUCGCAAGAACGGGAAGAAUAAGCGAGAGUUAAUAUCUUUCGUGAUGACGGUACCG